GACGAACGCUGGCGGCGUGCUUAACACAUGCAAGUCGAACGGAAAGGCCCUGCUUUUGUGGGGUGCUCGAGUGGCGAACGGGUGAGUACACGUGAGUAACCUGCCCUUGACUUUGGGAUAACUUCAGGAAACUGGGGCUAAUACCGGAUAGGAGCUCCUGCUGCAUGGUGGGGGUUGGAAAGUUUCGGCGGUUGGGGACGGACUCGCGGCUUAUCAGCUUGUUGGUGGGGUAGUGGCUUACCAAGGCUUUGACGGGUAGCCGGCCUGAGAGGGUGACCGGCCACAUUGGGACUGAGAUACGGCCCAGACUCCUACGGGAGGCAGCAGUGGGGAAUAUUGCACAAUGGGCGGAAGCCUGAUGCAGCAACGCCGCGUGCGGGAUGACGGCCUUCGGGUUGUAAACCGCUUUCGCCUGUGACGAAGCGUGAGUGACGGUAAUGGGUAAAGAAGCACCGGCUAACUACGUG
rnacentral:rRNA from 1 species